rnacentral:rRNA from 1 species
GCAAGUCGAACGGGAGUCCGGGAGGUAGCAAUACUUCCUGGUGAGAGUGGCGGAUGGGGAGGAACACGUGAGCAACCUGCCUUUGAGUCGGGGAAAACCGUUGGAAACGACGGCUAAUACCGGAUGUGGCGCCCGGAGACAUCUUCGGAGCGCUAAAGGGGGGCCGCAAGGCUCUCGCUCGUAGAGGGGCUCGCGCACCAUCAGCUUGUUGGCGGGGUAACGGCCCACCAAGGCCUACGGUUAGCUGGUCUGAGAGGAUGACCAGCCCCACUGGGACUGAGAUACUGCCCAGACUCCUACGGGAGGCCGCAGUCGAGGAUCAUUUGCAAUGGGCGAAAGCCUGACAAUGCGACGCUGCGUUGGGAGGAUGAAGGCCUUCGGGUUGUAAACUCCUGUCAUGGGGGAACAGGCGAGGGGACCCAACACGUCCCUUAGUUGAGUGUACCCCAAGAGGAAGCGACGGCUAACUCUGUGCCAGCCGCUGC